CAGCCGCCACGGUAAUACGUAGGUCCCGAGCGUUGUCCGGAUUUAUUGGGCGUAAAGGGAGUGUAGGCGGUCUUUUAAGUCUGAUGUGAAAGCCCACGGCUCAACCGUGGAGGGUCAUUGGAAACUGGGAGACUUGAGUGCAGAAGAGGAGAGCGGAAUUCCAUGUGUAGCGGUGAAAUGCGUAGAUAUAUGGAGGAACACCAGUGGCGAAGGCGGCUCUCUGGUCUGUAACUGACGCUGAGGCUCGAAAGCGUGGGGAGCAAACAGGAUUAGAUACCCCAGUAGUCCCUGUCUCUUAUAC
rnacentral:rRNA from 1 species